UUAGAGGACCUUGUUCUCCUGCCAUCCUCCCUCUGGCUCUCACAAUCUUCCUACCUGCUCUCCUAUGGAGUUCCCUGAGCCUUGAAGAAAGGGGUUUGAUGGAGACAUCCCAAUUAGACCUAAUUGUUCCAAGGUCUCGAACUCUGCAUAAUUUCUGGCUGUCAAACAUGGGAAACCAUCAUCAAGUGCCAUUAUUUAAUACUAUUCUUUCACUGUAUUGGCUGUAUUAAAUUUCACUGUGAAGACCUAUCAAUUUUGGAAAAUU